ensembl:misc_RNA 7SK 7SK RNA
GGAUGCAAGGUGAUCUGGCUGUGGUAUCUGUCACUCCAUUGAUUGCCAGGGUUGAUUCGGUUGAACUGGCUGGCUAGGCAGGUGUCCCCUUCCUCCCUCACUGCUCUAUGUGCCUCCCUCCUGAAGCUGUGCUCUCAGUCAAAGAGGACGACCAUCCCUGAUAGAGGAGGACUGGUCUUCUUUGGUCAAAGGUAUAUGAGUAGCUGUGCUUCCCUGCCAGAACCUCCAAACAAGCUCUCAAGAUUGGUGAAAAAGCUGGGCACGGUGGCUCACACCUGUAAUUCCAACACUUUGGAGAACUGAAGCAGUGGAUCACCUGAGG